AUUGAACGCUGGCGGCAGGCCUAACACAUGCAAGUCGAACGAGUGGCGGACGGGUGAGUAAUGUCUGGGAAACUGCCUGAUGGAGGGGGAUAACUACUGGAAACGGUAGCUAAUACCGCAUACCAUCGGAUGUGCCCAGAUGGGAUUAGCUAGUAGGUGGGGUAAAGGCUCACCUAGGCGACGAUCCCUAGCUGGUCUGAGAGGAUGACCAGCCACACUGGAUCUGUGAGGCGGUGCGGACGCCUACGGGAGGCAGCGGGGGGGAAUAUUGCACAAUGGGGGCAAGGGUGAUGCAGCCGUGCCGCGUGUAUGAAGAGGGCCUUCGGGUUGUAAAGUACUUUCAGCGGGGAGGGGUUACCCGCAGAAGAAGCACCGGCUAACUCCGUGCCAGCCGCCGCGGUAAUAC
rnacentral:rRNA from 1 species